AGCAUUGAUGACCAUUGCUUAAUAUAUUUUGACACCUCUUGUAUGAGAUGGAUCUUUUCUAAAAAGGUUCCAUCUUUGAGUAUAGAAAGCAACUCUUUGAGUC
rfam:Cajanus cajan CcLG08_511, whole genome shotgun sequence.